GUGCGUGGUGGUGUGUAUGAGUGUGUUAGGUGUGAACGAUUUUCUACAAGAUGCUGAGAAGGUAUCGGCUUAAAGUAGAGGUGUUCGAUGGUUCAAAAAAUGCUGUUUUUUUCCUUAAUGAUUCUCAAGUGAAGGAGUUGAUCAGUUUGUCUCCAGAUGAUCUGUUGUAUCCUCUGGAUUCUAUUGCUGAUGUUGACUUUCCACUGGAGGUUCAGGAAAAAGUUAUUGGCAAAGAAAUUUUGUUUAAAGUUUCUAAGAUUCCUGGGAUUA